GCUAGCCUACAACCUUAUGGUAGAACAUCCUCCGCGUUACAUUAUCACAGUCUGCUCUGCUUGCUAGACACAUCCGUUUUACAGGCUAGCCUACAACCUUAUGAUAGAACAUCCUCCGUGUUACAUUACCACAGUCUGCUCUGCUUGCUAGACACAUCCGUUUUACAGGCUAGCCUACAACCUUAUGAUAGAACAUCCUACGGUUACAUUACCACAGUCUGCUCUGCUGGCUAGACACUUCAAACAAAUAAAUACUGUAACUUGAGUAUGUUAAAUUUUAUUUGAAAGGAAACCUAACAUUUUAUCCUAAUGUUUAAAGAUCUUUGAAUGUUUUACAAUUAAGUUUGAUGAAACGUGAUGCUGAUGACAAUAUUUUGUGAUUAUCAAAGGGUGACAUUCACAGAAAAUAGAAAGAUACAGAGUUUAUAUAGUAAUGUAGAUAAAAACACCGAUGAGUUUAAUAACUUUUCAAAGGUAUCAGAGUGUAAAUAUUGAUUAUUUUUUAAUUUUGUACGUGUUUCAAAAUCAGAAUAAAGAUUAUAAUAUGGCCAGAACAAUGGAUCUGGGUCAAAAAGUUUCAUUUAAUUGAAAAGUAAUAAAUAGUGAAUCGUAAAAACAAAUACUAUUGUACUGGCAUGCUAGGCCUCCUCGGAGCAGGGAGAGUAACACGAGUUAGUUAUUGAUCAGAUAUUGAGAUAUCAGAUGAUUAUAUUGUUAUGCAGUCGGUUGGUAGCAAUUACAUAUGGAUGCAAUGCUAAUGGUACAACAAUCCGGUCAAAUAAUACACCUCUGCCAUACUGUUUGAUUUAAUCCAUAAUGUAUUGAAUGUAGCCAUGGGGGUAAUUUAACAAUAACAGUUAAACUCAAUACCUUCAAGAACCGACUCUGAUUAACCACUAAUAUAUAGCUAGGAGUACUCUGCAGUCAACGUGUUAAGAGUUUGUCUAACUGCAUAAUAAUUGGUGAGCCCUCAUCAAUGCAAUUGAAGGUCAUUGCUCAGGGAAAUUCUAAAUGUAGCCAUGCACUCUCUUGGUAAGUUUAUUAACUAGAUUGUAGAUACUGUACCAUGCCAUGUUGCAAUAUCAAGUUCAUUGAAUUAUAUAUUUUUAUUGUAUACUCAUUUUAAAAUUGUAAAUAGUAUUUCUUAAAAAAUAGAGAGGAACACUUUAUCAUUACCGUAUGGUUUAAAGGACAGUACUUCAAUAUUUCCCUUUUGGUAUUUUUGCACCAAUAACAAAAAUUAGUCAUAGGUUAGGUUUGUUAUUGGUUUACCGUUAUCGAUAAAACAGAAUUCCGAUGUUGCAGAAUUGAACACUCAAUAAGAACGUUAAAAGAAUAUUUUAUUGAAUUCACUAAUAAAGUGGUAACUCAUGUGCUAGUGAAAGGUUUGUGAUAUUUAAUCAGUUGUUUUUAAUUGUUAUUUUAUUAUUGUUCUUUAAUUCUUAACUAUUUAAUACAUACGUACAUACACAGCUAACUUUGGUGCUUUCUGCAAUUGCUAAAUCCAAAUAAUAGUAACUGAAAAAUUCAUUUGUUUUGCACUUAUUCUAAUGUGAACAUUUAUACUGACAAAAUAAACAACCGAUGAGAUUCAUAAAGCACAUUGCAGUUUAUCAUUUAUGUAAUAACACUAUGUAUGUAUCGAAUAUUGUUGUCAUACUGAUAUUAUUUUAUAUAGUCCUUGUAAGUUAGACUUUAGCUUACAGUUGAUAAGUUAGUUUUACAUAACUGAAUAUAUUAUAAAUUUUUAUUGUUGAUGCAUUUUUAGAAUUAAGUAUGUUUGUGUUAUAAGUUUUAAGAUGUGGGUGCAAUUAAUUUUUUAUAUUAAUGAUAAAGUUCACGUUAAUUAUGCAUUUAUAUGUCAUGUAAAUGCAAGAACGCUUUAAUAAUGUUGUUUUAUUUUAGUACAAGCUUUUGCAUAAUAUUUUUAAAUUUUAAAUCAAGCAUGCCUAGUUUUUAUUAAGUUUUAUUAUGUAUUAUAAGCUUUUGCUUAUGAUUUUUUUAAAUCUGAUAUGCCUAAAUAAUCAGUUGCAUUAUAAGUUAAGCGUUACUAUGGAAUGUGUUAAAACUGAAUUAAUUUUGUUGCUGCACAAGCUUUCUAUUGUUGAUAAACAAAGUAAUAUGUUGAAUACAAAUUGUUGUUGGCAUGUAAAUAAGUACAUGAUACCCAAGAAAUAAUUGAACUCCUUUAAUAAGCUGAUUAGUUAAACUAAGAAGACGUCAUUCACUUAAUAUGAUGUAGGUAUAUAAUAAUGCCUGUGUUGUGACGCGGCUAUUUUUUGCGCAAUGUAAAUAUGGAAAUUAAAUUUCUUGAGUAAAUUAUUUGCAAUAUAUUUAGAGAACUGCUGUGCAGUCUAGCUCUGGGGAUAUUUUGUGUUUGGCACACUAUCUCCGUAAAUUGUUUUAGGUUUAUAAGAUUAAAUCUUAAGAGUUCUCUGACACUCACUCAUGCUAGAGUCACAUUGUGAUAUGAAUACUCUUUAAGAGUGUUGCAAUGUUACGUAACACUAAAAUCCAUGUUAAUAAUUUGAAAUACACAGCAAUUAUCUGAAUAUUUUGUGGUUCCAUCGAGUUGUUUGUGUGCACAUUGUUCACUAUCUUAAUCUGUUGCUCAUGUAAUCUUAAAAUACUGGGCCGUUCAUAAUGAAUUAUUUGUAAAGUCUAGUUUAUUACUUUUUGUAUUUACUUAUUCAAAAUGUCACUUAAAUUUGCCACGUUACUCCAGUAAUUCAUGUUCAUAAAAAAAGUCCCUCCUGUAUAGAAACAAUUGUGAGAAUAUAAGUAGUUGAAUGUAAAGAACAAUAAACAUACAAUAAGCAAAUAAUACAUGCAAAACAACACUCUUACUUAAAAUGCAUGGUGCAAAGAACUUGAAAUGAAGAGAGAAUGUGCACUACUAUUAACUAAAUAUUUAUUUACCACUUGAUUAAUCUUAUAAUAUAAUCAGUAAUCAGAGAAUGUCUUGUAAAAUGCUUAUGGGGUUAUGCAGGAUAAAAUUGUAUUAAUUGUUAUUAUGUUCAUUAAUUUGAUGAUGUCAUUAUAUUCAGAUGUAUUUUUCAUUUCUCUGAGAUAACUCUAUAAUAAAUUUUCUAAAACUAAAAAAGUGUCUAUGGGUUUAAGUAUUAAACAAUUUCCAAAUUGUAAAACACAGUGUUUCAGAUUCAAAAGCGGCCUAUAUUGUCAAAGACUAGAAUUUGGAAUAGUCCCUUGAUAUAUAGUCCUAAAAUAGUCCCUAAAACUAAAUUUCAAAAAGUCCCUUACAACUCCAAAAUUUGCAUGAGGUGUAUGAAAGUCAGAAUAGUGCUUACUUUCCCAAGACGUGGUUUUCUUUCGGUUGAAUAUAAAGGUGUUAUAAAUAAUUUCAAAACUUUUACUAAAAAAACAACGUAAACAUGGAAUCCAAAAUCAUUGAACACUGGUACUGGAAGGGGGUAAAGUUUGGCCUAGCCGCAAAAAUUAGAUUUUCAUUCUGAAAAUAAUAAUCGAAAAAGCUCACCUGAGUUCCAUAAAUACCUAAAGCCUCGUAACAGCUGAACAUUUGAAAUUGUGGGACUCAAGAUGUUGGAAGGUCAAUGUAAGCACAUGAUUUAAAACAUUUAAUUUCUAUUUGAUUGACAUAUCUGUGUAAUAAAUAAUUUAAAAAAAUAUUUUCAGCAUACUUAAUUGUGACAAAAUUAAUUUUUAUUAUGAAAAGCAUGAUUAUGCAAACAAACAAAUCGUAAACAGAGUCUAUGAAGCUUAAAACAGGAUAAUAUUUUUAAAUGUCAACAUGAAUUUAGAGCCUACCUGAUACAAAAAAUUAUAAAGAUGGAGACAGGACACAUUAGCUUACUAACAUGAUACUAUCACAUUGUUAACUGGGCAGUGGAAAUAGGGUACUAUUACCUAGAAUUGACAGUACAAUUUGCAGCACAUUGCUAACCUGACAUGAGCACUUGGGACUGACAGUCUGGUCUGGUAGUGCCAUCUGUCUCGCACCACCUUAAGUGGCAAGGUCCCUGAAACCUGACAUGAGGACUUGGGACUGACAGUCUGGUAAACAGCCAUCUGUCUCGCACUACCUUAAGUGGCAAGGUCCCUGAAACCUGACAUGAGGACUUGGGACUGACAGUCUGGUCUGGUAGUGCCAUCUGUCUCGCACUGCCUUAAGUGGCAAGGUCCCUGAAACCUGACAUGAGGACUUGGGACUGAUAGUCUGGUCUGGUAGUGCCAUCUGUCUCGCACUACCUUAAGUGGCAAGGUCCCUGAAACCUGACAUGAGGACUUGGGACUGACAGUCUGGUCUGGUAGUGCCAUCUGUCUCGCACUACCUUAAGUGGCAAGGUCCCUGAAACCUGACAUGAGGACUUGGGACUGACAGUCUGGUCUGGUAGUGCCAUCUGUCUCGCACUGCCUUAAGUGGCAAGGUCCCUGAAACCUGACAUGAGGACUUGGGACUGACAGUCUGGUCUGGUAGUGCCAUCUGUCUCGCACUACCUUAAGUGGCAAGGUCCCUGAAACCUGACAUGAGGACUUGGGACUGACAGUCUGGUCUGGUAGUGCCAUCUGUCUCGCACUACCUUAAGUGGCAAGGUCCCUGAAACCUGACAUGAGGACUUGGGACUGACAGUCUGGUCUGGUAGUGCCAUCUGUCUCGCACUACCUUAAGUGGCAAGGUCCCUGAAACCUGACAUGAGGACUUGGGACUGACAGUCUGGUCUGGUAGUGCCAUCUGUCUCGCACUACCUUAAAUGGCAAGGUCCCUGAAACCCUGAUUUUUAACAAGAAUCUUGCUCGUAUUAGUUUUUGUAUUAAAAAAAUUGGUUAUAUGUCAUUUUUAACUAAAAAUAAAUGAUAUUGAAAUUACUAAUUUUGGUUUUACACACCAGUAAACAAAAUACAAUACUUAAGAUUUUCUCACAACGUAGCCAUGGUGGGAAGGGUUGAUUUAAUAUGAUGUUGAGGUUAUCUCCAGUUCACCUUCAUCUUAAUUCAGUGUCUCUGUCUUAUAGAAUGAUAUACCUGAUAUGAGAAUGCUAAUUCGCUUGGAUUACACUAUAUUUUGUAAUCUAUGUGUCUGAUGUCAAAACAAUGUAAAUCGAACUGUCGUAGACUGUUUUUCUUUAACAGCGUCAGAUUCCAGACGCUGAACUAAUAGGAAGGUGAACUGGAGAUAAGCUCAACAUUCGUACUUAAGAUUUUUAUGCGUUAAAACUGAAACGGCCAGACAAUAUUUCUACUGCUCAGAAUGAUACUGACCAUUGUGCACACUGAUAACUAAAUCAACCAGUACAAAGAUGACCAUUACAGUUGAUCUCAAAUCACCUUGUCUUUCAUAUAGUAAGUGUAUACUGCCUGGAGUGGCUUUUGUUGUGUCUAAAAAGUCAGCUACAAUUUGUCAAAGUCUAUGGCCGAAAUUAAUCAUUCCACACAUAAUUAUAGAGUAUCACAAUUAAUGUAACAUUAUGUUCACUUUGUGUAAUAAGAAGUUUUCAUCAACAGCUUGUUUCAGUUAGUGCCUUCUCUUUUAUGAUAAGACUCAAUUCAAUUUUAUACUAUACACGCAAGUUUUAAUUUUCAUUAUUUCCAUAUUGUCUUCCAUCAUGUGUUGUUAAAAGGUCUUCAGAAUAAACUUGUUUUCUAUGUGUAGAGCUUGGCAUGACCUAGGUAAUAGAAUGAACACAAUAUUUUUAUACCAACGAAUUGUGCCUGUUUACAUUCUUUCUUUGUUACAGUUAGAUAAAUUUAGAAACAUAUUUAUGCAUUUAUUUCAAUAAAUUAAAUAAAGCCAUAUCUACUGUAAUCAAUAUUCAUACCAAAUUCGGUUUAAUGUGUUUUGUUACAGCAGUAGUAGAUAAUUUGUUAUUAUUGAUGUAUGUUUUGUGUGUUAAAAGCUUUUGAAUGUAGUAAAAAUACAAUCUAUAAUGUUAAUUUUAGUUCUUUAACAAUACAAUUUUAUUAAUAUAAA